rnacentral:rRNA from 1 species
UCGAACGGGAUUUCGGGUAGCAAUAUCUGAAUGAGAGUGGCGCACGGGUGCUUAACGCGUAUGCAACCUGCCUUUGUCUGGGGGAUAGCCUUCCGAAAGGAAGAUUAAUACCGCAUAAUGUAUUGAUGUGGCAUCACAUUAAUACCAAAACUCCGGUGGACAAAGAUGGGCAUGCGUCCGAUUAGCUAGUUGGUGAGGUAAUGGCUCACCAAGGCUACGAUCGGUAGGGGGUCUGAGAGGAUGAUCCCCCACACUGGUACUGAGACACGGACCAGACUCCUACGGGAGGCAGCAGUAAGGAAUAUUGGACAAUGGGCGAAAGCCUGAUCCAGCCAUGCCGCGUGCAGGAUGACUGCCCUAUGGGUUGUAAACUGCUUUUGGCGGGGAAAAAACCCUCCUAUGUAUAGGGGGCUGAUGGUACCCGCAGAAUAAGGAUCGGCUAACUCCGUGCCAGCAGCCGCG